rnacentral:rRNA from 1 species
CCAGGGAAUGCCUAGACACUAGAGAAUAUCGUGGACGUAAUAAAGUACGAAAGGUUAUGAAAGAACAUUGUAUCUAAAAUGUAAUGAAUCAUAAAUCUCCAUAGAGUAAACUCAUAAAAUAAGUGAAAACUUAUCGACAAACGCAGUGAACUGAAACAUCUAAGUAACUGUGAAAGAAAUCAACCGAGAUUCCGUUAGUAGUGGCGAUCGAACGCGGAUUAGACCUGUUUAAAUGAACAAAAAUUCGAAAUUCUUACCAGAGAAGGUGAAAGUCCUGUAGAAUAUAUAAAGUGAAAUUAAACAUUGAGUAAAAUGGAACACGUGAAAUUCUAUUUGAAUAUUGGGGGCUCACCCUCAAAGUCUAAAAACUCUCUAGUGCUCGAUAGUGUACAAGUACUGUAAAGGAAAGGUGAAAAGUACCGGUAUGGUAAUAAUAUUUAAAAGACCUGAAACUAGAUGUUUACAAACAGUUGAAGCUACGAAAAGUAGUGACAUCGUACCUUUUGCAUAAUGGGCCAAUGACUUUAUAUUUGUAGCGAGCUUAAGCCGUUAGGUGUAGGCGUAGUGAAAACAUAUCUGAAUAGGGUAAGGUUACAAAUAUAAGACCCGAAACCGAGUGAUCUAACCAUGAGCAGGUUGAAGUUCGAAUUAACAUUCGAUGGAGGACCGAACCCACGUAUGUAGAAAAAUGCGGGGAUGACUUGUGGUUAGGGGUGAAAGGCCAAUCAAACUCGGAAAUAGCUGGUUUUUCGCGAAAUCUAUUUAAGUAGAGCAUCUAGUGUUAAUUACUUGGGGUAGAGCACUCAUUAAACUAGGGGGAUAUUGUAUCUUACCAACUUUAGGGAAACUCCGAAUACAAGUAAGCACCAAUCUAGAUAGACAGACUUUGGGUGCUAAGAUUCAAAGUCAAGAGGGAAACAGCCCUCAGUGUACGUUAAGAUCCCUAAAUCUUAUCUAAGUGGACAAGGAAGUGAGAAAGUAAAGACAAUCAGCAGGUAGGCUUGGAAGCAGCCAUCCUCUAAGGAAAGCGUAAUAGCUCACUGGUUUAAUUUUCUUGCGCCGAAAAUAUAUUGGGACUCAAGAUAAGUAUCGAAACGGCAUUUUUAUAUAUAGAUAUAAAAGGUAGCGAAACGUUCCGUAAGUCUAAGAAGGAGAAUUGAAAAAUUCUUUGGAGAUAUCGGAAGUGAGAAUAUUGGCAUGAGUAACGACAAAGAAUGAUAAAACAUUCUCACCGUAAGCCUAAGGGUUCCGACGUAAGGUUAAACUGCGAAGGGUAAGACGGCCCCUAAGGGAAAGACGAAAGUCCUAUCCGAUGGGUAAAAUAUAAUAAAUAUUUAAGUUCUCUUGAGAGUGACUAAGAUUGUAAUUUGCAUACCAUAAACUCAUUAAAUGGAUUUGAGUUGUAAAGAAAAUCUUACAAGAAAUAACUCUUGAACUACGAACCGUACCCUAAACCGACACAGGUAGGCGAGUCGAGUAGACUCAGGUGAUUGAGAGAACUAUGUUGAAGGAACUCGGCAAAAUGGCCCUGUAACUUCGGGAGAAAGGGUACCUUAACAAAACAGGUAGUUCUGUUAAGGUGGCACUGAAUAGGGAGUGGCGACUGUUUAUUAAAAACACAGGACUCUGCUAAAUCGUAAGAUGACGUAUAGGGUCUGACACCUGCCCGGUGCUGGAAAGUUAAUGGGAGGUAUUUUUGUACUGAACUGAAGCCCCAGUAAACGGCGGCCGUAACUCUGACGGUCCAAAGGUAGCGAAAUUCUUUGCCACCUAAUUAGUGGCCUGCAUGAAUCGCGUAAUGACUUCUUUACUGUCUCUUACACAGACUCAGUGAAAUUGAAAUAUCCGUGAAGAUGCGGAUUACUCACAGCUAGACGGAAAGACCCUGUACACCUUUACUGCAUUUAUUGAUUGCAAAAAUGUAUUUGUUGUGUAGAAUAGGUGGGAGCACGAUACCUUUUUGGUACUGUGCGCCAGUGAAAUACCACCCUGCAUUUAUGUUGAUGCUAACUUAUUUCUAUAAGAACAGUUUAUAAUUGGUAGUUUGACUGGGGCGGUCGCCUUCUAAAAGGUAACGAAGGCGUGCAUAAGGUAAACUCAAAUAAAUAAAUCUUUUAUUGAAGAGUGCAAUAGCAAAAGUUUGCUUGACUGUAAGAAUAACGAUUCGAACAGGGGCGUAAGCCGGCUAUAGUGAUCCGGUGAUACUGAAUGGAAAGGUCAUCGCUCAACGGAUAAAAGGUACGUCAGGGAUAACAGGCUAAUGACUCCUUAGAGUUCCUAUCGACGGAGUUGUUUGGCACCUCGAUGUCGGCUAGUCACAUCCUGGAGCUGAAGCAGGUUCCAAGGGUUAGGUUGUUCGCCUAUUAAAGUGGCACUUGAGCUGGGUUCAGAACGCCGUGAGGCAGUUUGGUCCCUAUCUACUGUGAGCGUUAGAAAAUUGAAGAAAUUAAACCCUAGUACGAGAGGACCGGGAAACGUAAACCUCUGGUGUAGCGAUUGUUUUUAAAAAAGCAUCGUCGCGUAGCUACGUUUAUACUAGAUAAUCGCUGAAAGCAUCUAAGUGAGAAACUAUUUCUAAGAUUAAUUUUCUUUUUAGGGCUGUGGCAUAACACCACGUUGAUAGGUGCGGAGUUUAACGAUUGUAAGAUUCUAGCUACUGCAUACUAAAAGCCUGAAAUAAUCUUUUAU